GACGAACGCUGGCGGCGUGCUUAACACAUGCAAGUCGAACGGAAAGGCCCUGCUUUUGUGGGGUGCUCGAGUGGCGAACGGGUGAGUAACACGUGAGUAACCUGCCCUUGACUUUGGGAUAACUUCAGGAAACUGGGGCUAAUACCGGAUAGGAGCUCCUGCUGCAUGGUGGGGGUUGGAAAGUUUCGGCGGUUGGGGAUGGACUCGCGGCUUAUCAGCUUGUUGGUGGGGUAGUGGCUUACCAAGGCUUUGACGGGUAGCCGGCCUGGGAGGGUGACCGGCCACAUUGGGACAGAGAUACGGCCAAGACGCCAACGGGAGGCAGCAGUGGGGAAUAUUGCACAAUGGGCGGAAGCCGGAUGCAGCAACGCCGGGUGCGGGAUGACGGCCUUAGGGUUGUAAACCGCUUUCGCCUGUGACGAAGCGUGAGUGACGGUAAUGGGUAAAGAAGCACCGGCUAACUACGUG
rnacentral:rRNA from 1 species